UACAGAGGGUGCGAGCGUUAAUCGGAAUUACUGGGCGUAAAGCGCGCGUAGACGGUUAUUUAAGUCGGGUGUGAAAUCCCCGGGCUCAACCUGGGAAUGGCAUUUGGGACUGCAAGGCUAGAGUGUUGCAGAGGAGACUGGAAUUCCUGGUGUAGCAGUGAAAUGCGUAGAUAUCAGGAGGAAUACCGGUGGCGAAGGCAGGUCUCUGGGUUAACACUGACGCUCAUGCACGAAAGCGUGGGGAGCAAACAGG
rnacentral:rRNA from 1 species